GUCUCGGUGUCUCGCUAGGAGUCUCUCCUCAAGAGCUCAAGAGGGGGUUGAUCCAUCCUCAAAAUAAAUACCACAUAAAACUCUGAAUGACUUUGUUGUGUGUCAUUUGUGCCUGCUGUUACACUA